rnacentral:rRNA from 1 species
UUUCCCUACGGGGGGCAGCAGUAGGGGAUAUUGCACAAUGGGGGAAACCCUGAUGCAGCAACGCCGCGUGAGUGACGAAGGUCUUCGGAUUGUAAAACUCUGUUCUUGGUGAAGAUAAUGACGGUAGCCAAGGAGAAAGCUCCGGCUAACUAUGUGUCAGCAGCCGCGGUAAUACGUAGGGAGCGAGCGUUGUCCGGAAUUACUGGGUGUAAAGGGAGCGUAGGCGGGACUGCAAGUUGGGUGUCAAAUCUACCGGCUCAACCGGUAGCCGCACUCAAAACUGCAGUUCUUGAGUGAAGUAGAGG